rnacentral:rRNA from 1 species
UAAAACAAUAAGAAAGAAAAAAAAAAAAGAAAAAGAAAAACAAUAGGAUCCGGAGGAAAAUUUAACCUUAAMUAAUCCCUUAAUGGAUCAGGGAGUAUUAUAUGAUAUCCCCUCGCACUUUUGUUUAUCAAAGUUUUGGGUUCGGGGGGAGUAKGGUCGCAAGGCGAAACUAAAGAAUGACGAGGCACAMAUGCAAAUAAAAAUWA